GCCACCGUCAGCUGACCCAUUACGUUCCGGACGGAGUGGCCCGUUAGGCCUGGGGAUACAAGGCUGAUCGUGGGUCACUUUCUCUGGAUGCUUGUGCGGGGUCCUCAAUCUGGAGAGGCUAUAGAAUUUUCCUAUACCGAAGGAUGAGACUGUCACGCCGAUUCCUCGGAGGCUGUGAAGACAGUAACUUGUCUUAAAGAGCUAGAGGUCGAAUUCUUUGGGCACCCUCUGAUCCA